rnacentral:rRNA from 1 species
UACAGAGGUCCCGAGCGUUGUUCGGAUUCAUUGGGCGUAAAGGGUGCGUAGGCGGUGGGGUAAGUUGGAUGUGAAAUCCCCAGGCUUAACCUGGGAACUGCAUCCGAUACUGGAUGGCUUGAAUCCGGGAGAGGGAUGCAGAAUUCCAGGUGUAGCGGUGAAAUGCGUAGAUAUCUGGAGGAAUACCGGUGGCGAAGGCGGCAUCCUGGACCGGCAUUGACGCUGAUGAGCGAAAGCUAGGGGAGCAAACGGG